GACGAACGCUGGCGGCGUGCUUAACACAUGCAAGUCGAACGGAAAGGCCCUGCUUUUGUGGGGUUCUCGAGUGGCGAACGGGUGAGUAACACGUGAGUAACCUGCCCUUGACUUUGGGAUAACUUCAGGAAACUGGGGCUAAUACCGGAUAGGAGCUCCUGCUGCAUGGUGGGGGUUGGAAAGUUUCGGCGGUUGGGGAUGGACUCGCGGCUUAUCAGCUUGUUGGUGGGGUAGUGGCUUACCAAGGCUUUGACGGGUAGCCGGCCUGAGAGGGUGACCGGCCACAUUGGGACUGAGAUACGGCCCAGACUCCUAUGGGAGGCAGCAGUGGGGAAUAUUGCACAAUGGGCGGAAGCCUGAUGCAGCAACGCCGCGUGCGGGAUGACGGCCUUCGGGUUGUAAACCGCUUUCGACUGUGACGAAGCGUGAGUGACGGUAAUGGGUAAAGAAGCACCGGCUAACUACGUG
rnacentral:rRNA from 1 species